rnacentral:tRNA from 1 species
GCGGAUAUAGCUCAAUGGCAGAGUUACAGGCUUCCACCCUGAAGAUGUCGGUUCGAUUCCGGCUAUCCGCUCCA